rnacentral:rRNA from 1 species
AUUGAACGCUGGCGGCAUGCCUUACACAUGCAAGUCGAACGGCAGCACGGGUGCUUGCACCUGGUGGCGAGUGGCGAACGGGUGAGUAAUACAUCGGAACAUGUCCUGUAGUGGGGGAUAGCCCGGCGAAAGCCGGAUUAAUACCGCAUACGAUCUACGGAUGAAAGCGGGGGGCCUUCGGGCCUCGCGCUAUAGGGUUGGCCGAUGGCUGAUUAGCUAGUUGGUGGGGUAAAGGCCUACCAAGGCGACGAUCAGUAGCUGGUCUGAGAGGACGACCAGCCACACUGGGACUGAGACACGGCCCAGACUCCUACGGGAGGCAGCAGUGGGGAAUUUUGGACAAUGGGCGAAAGCCUGAUCCAGCAAUGCCGCGUGUGUGAAGAAGGCCUUCGGGUUGUAAAGCACUUUUGUCCGGAAAGAAAUCCUUGGCUCUAAUACAGUCGGGGGAUGACGGUACCGGAAGAAUAAGCACCGGCUAACUACGUG